UUGGAGGGCAAGUCUGGUGCCAGCAGCCGCGGUAAUUCCAGCUCCAAUAGCGUAUAUUAAAGUUGUUGCAGUUAAAAAGCUCGUAGUUGAAUUUCGGGGUUCUACCGUUGGUCGGGCUAUUGUCUGUACUGGCGUGUAGAAUUUCUACCUUCUGGGGAACUAUCAUGUUAUUAAUUUAGCGUGGUAGGAAACCAGGACCUUUACCUUGAAAAAAUUAGAGUGUUCAAAGCAGGCUUAUGUCUGAAUGCAUUAGCAUGGAAUAAUAAAAUAGGACGGUGGUCCUGUUUUGUUGGUUUCUGAAUCACCGUAAUGAUUAAUAGGGAUAGUUGGGGGCAUUAGUAUUCAAUUGUCAGAGGUGAAAUUCUUGGAUUUAUUGAAGACUAACUACUGCGAAAGCAUUUGCCAAGGAUGUUUUCAUUAAUCAAGAACGAAAGUUAGGGGAUCGAAGACGAUCAGAUACCGUCGUAGUCUUAACCAUAAACUAUGCCGACUAGGGAUCGGAUGAUGUUAAUUUUUUAAUGACUCAUUCGGCGCCUUACGGGAAA
rnacentral:rRNA from 1 species